UACGAAGGGGGCUAGCGUUGUUCGGAAUUACUGGGCGUAAAGGGCGCGUAGGCGGCUGUGCAAGUCAGAUGUGAAAGCCCUGGGCUCAACCCAGGAUGUGCAUUUGAUACUGCACGGCUAGAGUGUCGGAGAGGAUGGUGGAAUUCCCAGUGUAGAGGUGAAAUUCGUAGAUAUUAGGAAGAACACCAGUGGCGAAGGCGGCUCACUGGCCCGGUACUGACGCUGAGGCGCGAAAGCGUGGGGAGCAAACAGG
rnacentral:rRNA from 1 species